rnacentral:RNase_P_RNA from 1 species
GGGGAGGUACUGAGUAACGGCAUAAAAAAUGUCAGGAAAGUCUACCCACCGCAUAAAAGCAACUCGUGUUAUGCGAGGCCUGGUAACAGGCGGCAACAUCACAGAAACGAACCACUUGCAAGGAGGAUGAAAACCUUAAAGUCUUGGCGACAAGAUGUGCAAAAGGAAGACGUUCUUGCAAGAAAGGGUGAAACGGAUAGACCUUGCUGGUGCAAGCCCAAAAAGGACGCUAAGUAGAAUACUCAGACAGCUCAUCCAAAACUUGUUAAAAUCAAGCAUGGGUGCUGACAGAAGGUAGCUUAAACCUGCCC